rnacentral:rRNA from 1 species
AGUGAACGCUGGCGGUAGGCCUAACACAUGCAAGUCGAACGGCAGCACAGUAAGAGCUUGCUCUUACGGUUGGCGAGUGGCGGACGGGUGAGGAAUACAUCAGAAUCUACUUUUUCGUGGAGGAUAACGUAGGGAAACUUACGCUAAUACCGCAUACGACCUACGGGUGAAAGCAGGGGAUCUUCGGACCUUGCGCGAUUGAAUGAGCCGAUGUCGGAUUAGCUAGUUGGCGGGGUAAAGGCCCACCAAGGCGACGAUCCGUAGCUGGCCUGAGAGGAUGAUCAGCCACACUGGAACUGAGACACGGUCCAGACUCCUACGGGAGGCAGCAGUGGGGAAUAUUGGGCAAUGGGCGCAAGCCUGAUCCAGCCAUACCGCGUGGGUGAAGAAGGCCUUCGGGUUGUAAAGCCCUUUUGUUGGGAAAGAAAAGCAGCAGGUUAAUACCCCGCUGUUCUGACGGUACCCAAAGAAUAAGCACCGGCUAACUUCGUG